CACGCGCCGCGGGGAAGGGCGCCGUCGCAGUGCUCAUCGCCGGCCACGCGGACGGCGGCGUCGAGAGGGGAGCGGUCCUGCUCGGCGGCCCCGGCGACCCGCUCACGCCCGGCUGGGCCGCGGCCGACGGCGCGGAGCGGCUAGGGGUUGACCACGAGGGCCGCGGCCGACGGCGCGGAGCGGCUAGGGUUUGACCACGAGGCGGUCAGGCGGCGGUUCCCGACGAUCCCGUCCAUGCCGGUCUCGGCCGACACGGCCGCGGCCAUCGUGCGGAGCCUGGGCGGGCCGGCCUUGCCGCCGG
rnacentral:lncRNA from 1 species